rnacentral:rRNA from 1 species
AGUAAUAUAUCGGAACGUGCCCAGUAAUGGGGGAUAGCCCGGCGAAAGCCGGAUUAAUACCGCAUACGACCUACGGGUGAAAGCAGGGGAUCGCAAGACCUUGCGCUAUUGGAGCGGCCGAUGUCAGAUUAGCUUGUUGGCGGGGUAAAAGCCCACCAAGGCGACGAUCUGUAGCUGGUCUGAGAGGACGACCAGCCACACUGGGACUGAGACACGGCCCAG